rnacentral:rRNA from 1 species
GGCUCAGAAUCAACGCUGGCGGCGCGCCUAACACAUGCAAGUCGCACGAGAAAGCUGGAGCAAUCUGGUGAGUAAAGUGGCGUACGGGUGAGUAACACGUGGGUUACCUACCCUCUGGUGGGGAAUAACCUUGGGAAACCGGGGCUAAUACCGCAUAAUUCCGAGAGGAAAAAGCCGAAAGGCGCCGGAGGAGGGGCCCGCGGCCGAUUAGCUAGUUGGUAGGGUAACGGCCUACCAAGGCAACGAUCGGUAGCCGGCCUGAGAGGGCACACGGCCACACUGGCACUGAAACACGGGCCAGACUCCUACGGGAGGCAGCAGUGGGGAAUCUUGCACAAUGGGGGAAACCCUGAUGCAGCGACGCCGCGUGAGCGAUGAAGCCCUUCGGGGUGUAAAGCUCUUUCGGCAGGAAAGAUAAUGACGGUACCUGCAGAAGAAGCUGCGGCUAACUACGUGCCAGCAGCCGCGGUAAUACGUAGGCAGCGAGCGUUGUUCGGAGUUACUGGGCGUAAAGAGUGUGUAGGCGGUUUGCCAAGUUCGGUGUGAAAUCUCCCGGCUUAACUGGGAGGGUGCGCCGAAUACUGGCAGGCUAGAGUGCGGGAGAGGAAAGCGGAAUUCCUGGUGUAGCGGUGAAAUGCGUAGAUAUCGGGAGGAACACCUGCGGUGUAGACGGCUUUCUGGACCGCCACUGACGCUGAGACACGAAAGCGUGGGUAGCAAACAGGAUUAGAUACCCUGGUAGUCCACGCCCUAAACGAUGCACACUUGGUGUGGGCAGUUCAUUCUGUCCGUGCCGUAGUUAACGCGUUAAGUGUGCCGCCUGGGGAGUACGGUCGCAGGCUGAAACUC